CCUAACUUCAUGCGUAAGCUCUCCUCGAGUCGCGGCAGCUCAGAGCUGCGGGUCUGUGUGCAGCCGAGAUAAAUUUGGGUCUAGAAAGGAUGACGUAAUGCUAAACCCGAGAGGUAGCUGCCGUCUCCCAGGGCUCCAGUCGCCAGGGCUGCUGACUGACAUCCCAACCACACGGAAAAGCACCAAGCCACCCAGAAAUCUGCAUUGCAGGACUCAAUUAAUAUGCACAUCUAAGACUCUUGCUUACCCCGGAGCACCCCAUUGGGGGUGCAACUGAUAAGGAUUCAUUCUUCCCUAAGGAAAGGUUGGCAUCAGAAUCAACUCUUCUGCUGGUUGCGACCACAAGCCAUGGGCCCAACCUCGCCACCCCACUUUAAAUAAAAGACCAUCACAGGUGAAUGAUCUUUGUUGUAUGGAAGUGGUUUCCUUCAUUAGGAAUGCCUCCUGAAUACUUUUUUUUUAAAUGACAUUUCAUCAUGUGUUGCUGUAGUCAUGUAUUAUUCUCCUUUAAU